rnacentral:tRNA from 1 species
GAGGGUGUAGCUCAAGUGGUAGAGUGUAUGCUUAGCAUGCACAAGGUCCUGGGUUCAAUCCCCAGUACCUCCU